rnacentral:rRNA from 1 species
UGGGGAAUAUUGCACAAUGGGCGCAAGCCUGAUGCAGCCAUGCCGCGUGUGUGAAGAAGGCCUUCGGGUUGUAAAGCACUUUCAGCGAGGAGGAAGGUGGGUGAGCUUAAUACGCUCAUCAAUUGACGUUACUCGCAGAAGAAGCACCGGCUAACUCCGUGCCAGCAGCCGCGGUAAUACGGAGGGUGCAAGCGUAAUCGGAAUUACUGGGCGUAAAGCGCACGCAGGCGGUUUGUUAAGUCAGAUGUGAAAUCCCCGGGCUCAACCUGGGAACUGCAUUUGAAACUGGCAAGCUAGAGUCUCGUAGAGGGGGGUAGAAUUCCAGGUGUAGCGGUGAAAUGCGUAGAGAUCUGGAGGAAUACCGGUGGCGAAGGCGGCCCCCUGGACGAAGACUGACGCUCA